rnacentral:lncRNA from 1 species
GUGUCACCCUUGCCUUGCAUAGGCAGGGCUGCUGGAUCCCAGACACCACACAGCUGGGAGGAAUUGGUGGCUUGUGACAGCAGCUCUCCAAUGGAACACCAUUGUCCUGGAAUGUGCUGUUUCUGGAUUGACAUAAUUGUUCUGUAGGAGCCAUUUGAGUCUCUCAGUAACAACUCAAAGGAAAAGGAAGAAACUCUCCUUCCUCAUCCCAGGCAGCUCUGCUCUGUAACAAUCCUUGGAAAUGGUAAUGAAAAGGAUGACCUGACAGCCCGUGAAGGACAAGGACCUGGCACUCCACCUUCCUGAGG